rnacentral:rRNA from 1 species
AGGUCAAGUGAAGAAGGGCGCACGGUGAAUGCCUUGGCACUGGAAGCCGAUGAAGGACGCGACUAACCGCGAAAGUCUUCGGGGAGCCGUAAGUAGGCUUUGAUCCGGAGGUCUCCGAAUGGGGGAACCCAGCAUGUGCAGACAUGCUAUCCUUAAGUGAAUACAUAGCUUAAGGAGGGAACACGCAGUGAACUGAAACAUCUAAGUAGCUGCAGGAAGAGAAAGAAAUAUCGAUUUCCCAAGUAGCGGCGAGCGAACAGGAAAGAGCCCAAACCGGCAGAUUUAUCUGCCGGGGUUGUAGGACUGAGACAUGGCACUUCAGAGGAUAGCAGAAGCGUUUGGGAAAGCGCGCCAGAGAGGGUGAGAGCCCCGUAAGCGAAAUCCAAAGGAGGCCUAUCAGUAUCCUGAGUAGGGCGGGACACGUGAAAUCCCGUUUGAAUCCGCGAGGACCAUCUCGCAAGGCUAAAUACUAACCAGUGACCGAUAGUGAACCAGUACCGUGAGGGAAAGGUGAAAAGAACCCCGGGAGGGGAGUGAAAGAGAACCUGAAACCGUGUGCCUACAAGUAGUCAGAGCCCGUUAACGGGUAAUGGCGUGCCUUUUGUAGAAUGAACCGGCGAGUUGCGUUAGUCAGCAAGGUUAAGUCAGAAAAGACGGAGCCGUAGCGAAAGCGAGUCUGAAGAGGGCGAGUAGUUGGCUGACGCAGACCCGAAACCAAGUGACCUACCCAUGACCAGGUUGAAGGCA